rnacentral:rRNA from 1 species
GAUGAACGCUAGCGGCAGGCUUAACACAUGCAAGUCGAGGGGCAGCGCGAUGUAGCAAUACAUUGGCGGCGACCGGCGCACGGGUGCGUAACACGUAUGGAACUUACCCUUUACUGGGAGAUAGCCCGGAGAAAUCCGAAUUAAUAUCCCAUAAUAAACGAAGUGGCAUCACUUUGUUUUGAAAGCUCCGGCGGUAAAGGAUGGCCAUGCGCACGAUUAGCUAGUAGGUGAGGUAACGGCUCACCUAGGCUACGAUCGUUAGGGGGCCUGAGAGGGUUAUCCCCCACACUGGUACUGAGACACGGACCAGACUCCUACGGGAGGCAGCAGUGAGGAAUAUUGCGCAAUGGAGGCAACUCUGACGCAGCCAUGCCGCGUGCAGGAAGAAGGCGCUACGCGUUGUAAACUGCUUUUAACCGGGAAGAAACCCUCCGACGUGUCGGAGGUUGACGGUACCGGAGGAAUAAGCACCGGCUAACUUCGUGCCAGCAGCCGCGGUAAAGUG